GGGGAUUUAGCUCAGUGGCUUAAGCGCCUGCCUUACAAGCAGGCGGUCGUGAGUUCGAUCCCUG
rnacentral:tRNA from 1 species